GGGGAUGUUCUGGAUUCGACAGGGGAGUGUAAGAUUUUGUAAGCGUGCCGUAGGUAUCGACUACGAUAAAACGAUAAAUUUAAAAUAAACGCAAAAAAUAAUAAUCAACUAGCUUUCGCUGCUUAAUUAGCGAGCUUGUCAAACCUGUCUACCUAUCGGAUAGGAUUUUGGCAUCAUUUAGAAUAGGAAGGUCCUAUGCUUUUGGCGGGUAGCAAAGGAUAAAUUAACGCCUCAUCAAUAUGU
rnacentral:tmRNA from 1 species